UACGAAGGGGGCUAGCGUUGCUCGGAAUCACUGGGCGUAAAGCGCACGUAGGCGGAUUGCUAAGUCAGGGGUGAAAUCCUGGAGCUCAACUCCAGAACUGCCCUUGAUACUGGCGGUCUCGAGUCCGGGAGAGGUGAGUGGAACUGCGAGUGUAGAGGUGAAAUUCGUAGAUAUUCGCAAGAACACCAGUGGCGAAGGCGGCUCACUGGCCCGGUACUGACGCUGAGGUGCGAAAGCGUGGGGAGCAAACAGGAU
rnacentral:rRNA from 1 species